rnacentral:rRNA from 1 species
UACGGGGGGGAGCAAGCGUUGUUCGGAUUUACUGGGCGUAAAGGGCGCGUAGGCGGUAGCACAAGUCAGUUGUGAAAUCUCCGGGCUUAACUCGGAAAGGUCAACUGAUACUGUGCGACUAGAGUGCAGAAGGGGCAACUGGAAUUCUCGGUGUAGCGGUGAAAUGCGCAGAUAUCAGGAGGAACACCGGUGGCGAAGGCGGGUCUCUGGGCCGAUACUGACGCUGAGGAGCGAAAGCGUGGGGAGCGAACAGG